rnacentral:lncRNA from 1 species
UGAAAGUCCUCUUUUGUGAGUGUCUUUAGUUACACUGUUGUGGCUGCCUCAGUGCCCUGAAUCAAUUAAAACCAUUUACCUUUCAAAUUUGGGGAAGAGCCAGAAGUUGCACAAUGCCAGAUCUGGUGAAUAAGGUGGACGAGGACGCGCCAUGUUUUUACGAGCCUGUCUUUCCAUUGGAUGGCACUCAGCAGUGGCAUUCACUGUAUAUUUCGAUCACAUUUGUAUGUUACACUCUUCUGAGGCUACUUACUAUUUGUUAACGAGAUAAUACCUAUCUUGUAAUUUUUAUGUGGAUGCAAAUUGCUAUAUACCCAGUUCCUGGCAUAUGAUAAGUAAUCAUUAAAUGAGAGCCAGUUAUUAUUGAUGGUGUUAUUGAUGUCAGUGCCCAGAAUUUUAGAAGCAUUGUGACAGUUUACUCAAAUGUCUCAGUCAGGAGGUGAUUACAUGAAGAUCAGCUUUCAGCUCAGUCUGGCCCUUUACCAAAAACCUUUCAGUUCAUGAGGCGUAGCCCUCUUUAUUAUAAGAGGGUCAAAACCAUACCCACCUUUGGUAUUUCACUGUACGUUUAAAUGAACAGCCUACAGAAAUUUAUUAACCUGAUUUUUUCCCCAUUUCUUAAUAGGAAAAUUUCUGGCAAUGCCAUGCUACAGUUGGGCCCCUUCUUAUAUUGGACAUUUCUGGCUGCCUUUGAAGGGACAGUGUUCUUCUUUGGGACUUACUUUCUUUUUCAUACUGCAUCUCUAGAAGAAAAUGGAAAGGUCUAUGGAAACUGGACUUUUGGAACCAUUGUUUUCACGGUCCUAGUAUUCACUGUAACUCUGAAGCUCGCCUUGGAUACUCGGUUCUGGACAUGGAUAAAUCACUUUGUGAUUUGGGGUUCUUUAGCCUUUUAUAUAUUUUUCUCAUUCUUCUGGGGAGGAAUUAUUUGGCCUUUUCUUAAACAACAGAGAAUGUAUUUCGUAUUUGCUCAAAUGCUGUCUUCUGUAUCCACAUGGUUGGCCAUAAUUCUUCUAAUAUUUGUUAGCCUUUUCCCUGAGAUUCUCCUGAUAGUAUUAAAGAAUGUAAGAAGAAGAAGUGCCAGGGUUCAUCACUUAAUUUCCUCUUCUGCAUAAAAAGUAUAGUAAAAACUUCGUUAUCCAAUGCAGGUGAAUCCGAAUCUUGAACUGCCUAUGUUAUUGUCCUACAAGCAUAUUGACAGUGGUUACAGCUAAAACAGAAACCAUGAAGAAACAACUACAAAAAUUUAUCACCUCAGGAUUCUUGAUAUGCAACAAAAACUAGAUCACUCUCUUAUGUCUAGGGUUCACAAUAAAUGCCGAUUGAAAUACUAAGUGGUUAUCCUAAGCAUUUCCAGUUAUUGUAAGUAGCCAUUAGAGCCAAAGCUGUAAGUUAAGAAUUAUAUGAAAGUUGAAAGCAAGAGUACUUAGAUUUCUGGCUUUAGAUAGCAUAAUGUAACUACCAGAUGGGUCCUUUUUUAACCCAUUGACUUUGUGAAUGGAUUUAAAUACAGUAUAAAGUAGAAGUCAUGCAGUGGGAAUGAACAGAUUUUGCUAAUACAGUAUUACUUUUUUUUGCUUGUCAAAAGACAUAGGCUGGAAUACAUUUCUCGUUCCUGCUGAAUGUUCAUCUUAAAUUAUUUUUUAAGCACACAAAUGGAAUACUUGAAAAUACAGGACUAAAAAUAGUAUCAGUGCAUCAGACAGAAUGGUUCAUCCUUUCUGUUCACCCACAUACUGAUUAUGCCUUGGUAAACUAUCCUUGCCAAAAAGUACCUUGAACACUUCUCUGGAAAGUGUUAACUCUGGGUGUGACUGUGGAACAAAAAGAUGUUUGUUUUUGUUCUUCUGAAUUAAACACUUAUAGGUGUAAGGCUACUAGACUUGAAAGUAAAAUAUAAAACAUUUCACUCACUUAGUAGACCCUCAAAGUAGGAAAUAAACAGAUUUUCCCAAUGUCAGUUUUACUGCGCUCUGAGGUAGGUGCAUAACAACUGUAUUUGUCCCAAAAUAAAGCCAUUCUGAACAUCAGCCUUUUAUAAUUUUACGUGGAGAGAAGGCAAAGAAUAUCUAAUUUUAAACUGUUAACGGUUUUUAUUUGAAAGAGUUUGCAUUUGUGCAUAUAGCAAGCACUUUGUUUUAUCCUGCUUAUUUGGGAUGAAGAAAGAUCCAUCCCAACACGGUUUAGCCUGUAGAACCAUGACUCUGCAAACAUACAUGCUGUCUCUCAUAGCUAAUGUGACCAGGCCAGCGGUCUAAUUCUAAACCAUGAGAGUGACCUCGGUCAGGUCCUUAACUUAGUGGACUAGAAAGAGGUUUUCACUUCUUAAUGAGUUCACUUAAAAUAGAAAACUAAAUGUGAAAUGUGUUUAUUCAGUGUUAAAAUUACACACCUUUUAAAAAUAGAAAUGACCACAUUUGACUGCUAGAUUAAAGUGGUCUUCAACAAAUAUUUUCAUUAUCAGUUUCUAUUUUUGUCUUUUUGGCAUGCCUGUACUAUUAUUAAUGUUUAUAUUGUACAUUGAUUUGGAAAAGUGUUAGAUUCAAUCUGUACCAAUAUAUUUAUAUAGUCCACAUGGCACAUUUGAUUCUUCCAUGUGUAUAUAUUUUGUGUUAAUACUUAGAUGUAAUUUUUCUUAAAUCUAGAAAGGACAUUAUUUCAGUUAUCAGAAACUAUUCCAUCAUUACUGAUCCCUUUUGUUAUUUAAUUUGUUCUCACCUAUCAGUAUUAUUUUUACAUAUUUUGUUAGAUGUCAUUCACAGCUUACCUAAGUGUGCUGUGUUCUAGUAGCCUAUAUUUGAGGUGAUCUGCUGAAGACAAAGUCUUUAUAUUUUUUGCCUAUUCCAAAGAGCUAAAAAAUACGUAAUCCAGGAAAGUUGUUGAUGUUUUAUUGUUGUUGUUGUUCUUGUUUUUGUAGUUAUUGUUGCCACAUUGUUGUUUUAUAUAAGAACUCCAGGGACUGUGAAUACAAACAAAAGAGUGAAGGUAGAGAGGCUUAUUUAAUGCAGAACCACUAGAGUUGUCAUAAUCAGAAUAUCCAGAAUAGUAAAAAUAAAACUAGUUGCAUGUAAAAUGUUUUACAGCCAGAAAGAAACUUAGAUGAGUAAAGGGGAUUUAGAGUCACGUCUCAGCUACACAUUACACUGUGCACUGCAGCUAAAAUUCUGAGUACCAGUGAUGUGUGCAAUGUGUAAGAUCACUGCCCAGAUCCUUGCUAGGGACCUGGAUUUUCAUUUUCAAAGAUAUUUUUAUUAAUGAGCUAAAAUAAAAUUGGCUAGCUUGGGGUUACAAGUGAAACAACUUAAAAUAACCCAUUCCAGUAUUCCUAGCACUGCAACAGAACCAUCCUAUUUUGUGACAGAGGAGAGAAAAUGUAAUAAUAGGACCAGAUACUUAUAAUUUGAAUAAGUUUGAGCUAUCAAAAUGUCCUUAUAAUUUUCACAUCUGUCGUCCAUUGUUUGAGGAUGUUAACUAUUAAACUGAAAAUAUUCAUUCCGUAUCUACCGCAUAUACACCAGCAACGGUAUAGAUGUAAGCUUAAAUUUGCAAAAUUCAUAAUUUAGUCAUGGAAUUUUAAAAUAACAUGCAGUAUAUAAAUGUGCAGAUUUUAUGCAAAUGUUGACAAAAUCAUUUUUCCGCUUGCAAAAUGGAACUUCAAUAUUACAUUUUUCACUUCAGCAAUUUUUUACAUCUCUGUUACUGCUUUUAAAAUGAAUGUGAAUGCCAUCUUUAAUGAAUGCAACUUUCCUUUUUCAUUAAAAAAUGUUUUGUUUGAUGUAAUCAAUAAACUUUGGUAUGAUAUGAUUGAUAUUUUAGCGUCUUUUUGGGAAAGGUCUCAGUUUGACAUCAAAAUAG